CACGAUAUUUCACCAUGUUUUAAAGUGCCAGAGGAUGUCCUAAUUCUCUCCGGGCCGUACCGAGAGAGAAACAGCGAAGCACUGGUGAGGGAAAGAAAAGAGCGGGAACCCAAAAAGACCUAACCAACGGAUUAGGCCCACCACAUAACACCUUAGGCAAGGCGAAUAAAAGCAUUAAAAUCACGAGCAAAUCGGAACACAAUCCAAAGGAGCAGCUAACGAUAUUACAUUCAACCUGCGAUAUUACACCCGGAUCCGAGGAAAGAACGAAUUCAAACACGAUCGGUGCUAAUGCCUUAGCCGAUGCGUUUGCCUCUGUCACGACUCGCGGGCUGAUAAACUGCUCUUUCGUAAUCCAUAGGCAAAAACCCACCAAGAUAUAAGAGCUUGGGAGAGAAGAAAAGAGACGUGGCCGAACCGAACCGGCCUCCUGAUAACAAAUUUGCCGAUAAACUAAUGCCAAAGGGUCCUCAGUUGCCCAAAACCACAAACGCCUAAUACAGAGCUACUAGCAUUCUUUCACGAAAACAAACGUCCUCCGCCGUCAGUCGUCGUGGCCAUUAAUGGACGGCGCCGGGAUCGCUCCUCCCCGGAGACGCAGGCUAGAGCAAUGGACUUGGGGAUGUGGGAAUGGAGGCCGCUGGGAAAGGGGAUUCCCAGGGCUCAGAGGGAGUGGCAACAAUGGCAGUUCCUCAGCUUUAAAAGGGAAAUGAAAGGCCAAAAGAGAGAGAGAAGGGUAUCUUCCGAAGCAUAUGCUUGAAGCAUUAUUAAUCCGACUGGAUUGCUGACCCAUCUCUG
rnacentral:lncRNA from 1 species